CUACCGGGGUAUCUAAUCCUGUUCGCUCCCCACGCUUUCGUGCCUCAGCGUCAGUUACAGCCUAGUAAGCUGCCUACGCAAUCGGUGUUCUUGAAGAUAUCUAUGCAUUUCACCGCUACAUCUUCAAUUCCGCCUACCUCGUCUGUACUCAAGCCUUUCAGUAUCAAUGGCAGUUCAACAGUUGAGCUGUUGGCUUUCACCACUGACUUAAAAGGCCGCCUACGCACCCUUUAAACCCAAUAAAUCCGGACAACGCUUGCACCCUCCGUAUUACCGCGGCUGCUGGCAC
rnacentral:rRNA from 1 species